GUCCUAGUAGAUUUUAUAAAGUACUAUAAAUAGUUAACUUUGAAAUAGAGGUAUAUUUGGCACAUCAGGCCAAGACUGCGAUUGUGCAAAUUUUAUGUACAGUGAAAAAAAUCUGCCCCACAAAUAUUUAGGUUGAUCUGUCAACUUAUGUUUUCCUUACUCACCUUAUUUACUUGAAAAUAAAGAUUGUUUAAAAGAAAAUCCAUCUGUCAUGAUUUUAAGGUCUCCCCAUCUUACAUCAGGGGUGCCCAAUAGGUAAAUACCCAGAUAUUGCUGAACUACAACUUCCAUGAAGCUUUGCAUGGCCAUGCAUGUCUUUAGAAUGACAAAGCAUCAUGAACGUUGUAGUUUUAAAACAUCCUGGGAUCUACCUUUUGGACACCCCUGUCUUACCCCCUUUACGAACACUUUUGUCAGCUAUCAAUCAAGUUACGCAGCCAGGGAAGAGGAAUAACAGAUGAUAAUGCAACCAGGAAUUGAAAGUCAUUGCUUAAAAUAGU